AACGAACGCUGGCGGCAGGCUUAACACAUGCAAGUCGAACGCUCCGCAAGGAGAGUGGCAGACGGGUGAGUAACACGUGGGAACGUACCCUUUACUACGGAACAACUCCGGGAAACUGGAGCUAAUACCGUAUGUGCCCUUUGGGGGAAAGAUUUAUCGGUAAAGGAUCGGCCCGCGUUGGAUUAGCUAGUUGGUGGGGUAAAGGCCUACCAAGGCGACGAUCCAUAGCUGGUCUGAGAGGAUGAUCAGCCACAUUGGGACUGAGACACGGCCCAAACUCCUACGGGAGGCAGCAGUGGGGAAUAUUGGACAAUGGGCGCAAGCCUGAUCCAGCCAUGCCGCGUGUGUGAUGAAGGCCUUAGGGUUGUAAAGCACUUUCACCGGAGAAGAUAAUGACGGUAUCCGGAGAAGAAGCCCCGGCUAACUUCGUGCCAGCAGCCGCAGUAACAC
rnacentral:rRNA from 1 species